rnacentral:rRNA from 1 species
UUUUCAUCAGACAAUCUGUGUGAGCACUGCAAAGUACGCUUCUUUAAGGUAAGGAGGUGAUCCAACCGCAGGUUCCCCUACGGUUACCUUGUUACGACUUCACCCCAGUCAUGAAUCACAAAGUGGUAAGCGCCCUCCCGAAGGUUAAGCUACCUACUUCUUUUGCAACCCACUCCCAUGGUGUGACGGGCGGUGUGUACAAGGCCCGGGAACGUAUUCACCGUGGCAUUCUGAUCCACGAUUACUAGCGAUUCCGACUUCAUGGAGUCGAGUUGCAGACUCCAAUCCGGACUACGACGCACUUUAUGAGGUCCGCUUGCUCUCGCGAGGUCGCUUCUCUUUGUAUGCGCCAUUGUAGCACGUGUGUAGCCCUGGUCGUAAGGGCCAUGAUGACUUGACGUCAUCCCCACCUUCCUCCAGUUUAUCACUGGCAGUCUCCUUUGAGUUCCCGGCCGGACCGCUGGCAACAAAGGAUAAGGGUUGCGCUCGUUGCGGGACUUAACCCAACAUUUCACAACACGAGCUGACGACAGCCAUGCAGCACCUGUCUCACGGUUCCCGAAGGCACAUUCUCAUCUCUGAAAACUUCCGUGGAUGUCAAGACCAGGUAAGGUUCUUCGCGUUGCAUCGAAUUAAACCACAUGCUCCACCGCUUGUGCGGGCCCCCGUCAAUUCAUUUGAGUUUUAACCUUGCGGCCGUACUCCCCAGGCGGUCUACUUAACGCGUUAGCUCCGGAAGCCACGCCUCAAGGGCACAACCUCCAAGUAGACAUCGUUUACGGCGUGGACUACCAGGGUAUCUAAUCCUGUUUGCUCCCCACGCUUUCGCACCUGAGCGUCAGUCUUUGUCCAGGGGGCCGCCUUCGCCACCGGUAUUCCUCCAGAUCUCUACGCAUUUCACCGCUACNNNNNNNNNNNNNNNNNNNNCCUGGAAUUCUACCCCCCUCUACAAGACUCAAGCCUGCCAGUUUCGAAUGCAGUUCCCAGGUUGAGCCCGGGGAUUUCACAUCCGACUUGACAGACCGCCUGCGUGCGCUUUACGCCCAGUAAUUCCGAUUAACGCUUGCACCCUCCGUAUUACCGCGGCUGCUGGCACGGAGUUAGCCGGUGCUUCUUCUGCGGGUAACGUCAAUUGCUGCGGUUAUUAACCACAACACCUUCCUCCCCGCUGAAAGUACUUUACAACCCGAAGGCCUUCUUCAUACACGCGGCAUGGCUGCAUCAGGCUUGCGCCCAUUGUGCAAUAUUCCCCACUGCUGCCUCCCGUAGGAGUCUGGACCGUGUCUCAGUUCCAGUGUGGCUGGUCAUCCUCUCAGACCAGCUAGGGAUCGUCGCCUUGGUGAGCCGUUACCUCACCAACAAGCUAAUCCCAUCUGGGCACAUCUGAUGGCAAGAGGCCCGAAGGUCCCCCUCUUUGGUCUUGCGACGUUAUGCGGUAUUAGCCACCGUUUCCAGUAGUUAUCCCCCUCCAUCAGGCAGUUUCCCAGACAUUACUCACCCGUCCGCCACUCGUCAGCAAAGCAGCAAGCUGCUUCCUGUUACCGUUCGACUUGCAUGUGUUAGGCCUGCCGCCAGCGUUCAAUCUGAGCCAUGAUCAAACUCUUCAAUUUAAAAGUUUGAUGCUCAAUGAAUUAAACUUCGUAAUGAAUUACGUGUUCACUCUUGAGACUUGGUAUUCAUUUUUCGUC